rnacentral:rRNA from 1 species
GCACUAAAAUUGGUUGUAAAAAAUAAAUAAAUUUGAAUUAAUUGGGUAGUUUUAUUUAAAUAAAAAUAAUUUUAGUUUUGAAUUUUUUGUAAAGUAAAUUAUAUUGAAUAUAUAGAUGGCAUUUAAUUUUGAAGAGUACUGUAGGGGAAAAUUGAAAUAUAAUUAAUUUUUAAAAAAGAAAAUUAUUGUACCUUUUGUAUCAGGGUUAAUUAAUUUUAAGAUAAGAAUUUAAAUUUCUCGAAUAGAAAAGAGUUAUUAUAUUAUUAAAGUUAAUGUAAAAUAAUUAUUUUUUAUAAAAUAAUGGAAAUGAAAUGUUAGUCGAUUUUUUAGAUAUCUAGUUUCUUAAGAAAUAAAUUUAAUUUAUAUUUAAAUAAUUUAAUUAAAUAAUUAAAGAUUUUGUUAUAAGUUUAAAUAAGAAUUUUUGGGGAUAAGCUUGAAAAUGAAUUAUAUAGUUUUUUAAUAGUUUUAUUAUAGGCUUGUAAUUGGCUUUUAUUUUAAGUAUGUUAUAAUUUCAUGUUUUUUGAUUUAAUUAGAUUAUUAAUUUUAUUAUUAAGAAAUAAGAAUAAAUUUAGAUUUUUAGUUAUAAUGAUUAAAUUAGUAAUUGAAUAAAAAUGAAUAAAUUUGUUUUUGUGUAAAGUUGAUUUAAGGAAUUAGGCAAAUAGUUUAUUCGCCUGUUUAACAAAAACAUGUCUUUAAGAAAUAAUUUUAAGUCGGGCCUGCUCACUGAAAUUUGAAGAGUCGCGGUAUUUUGACCGUGCAAAGGUAGCAUAAUCAAUAGUCUUUUAAUUGAAGGCUGGAAUGAAUGGUUUGACGAAAUAAAAACUGUCUAAAUUUAAUUUAAUAAAUUUAAAUUUUAAGUUAAAAUGCUUAAAUAAAUAAAAGGGACGAUAAGACCCUAUAGAUUUUUAUAUAAUAAAUUUAUUUAAAAUAAUAAUUAAAUAUAUUAUAUUUGGUUGGGGUGACAAGAGAAAAAAUUAACUUCUUUUAAAUUAAACAGGAAUAAUUGGUUAGUUGAUCCUAAUUUUUAGAUUAAAAGAUUAAAAUACCUUAGGGAUAACAGCGUAAUUUUAUUUGAGAGUUCAUAUUAAUAAUAAAGAUUGCGACCUCGAUGUUGGAUUAAGAAUAUUUUUUGGUGCAGUAGUUAAUAAAAUAAGUCUGUUCGACUUUUAAAAUCUUACAUGAUCUGAGUUCAAACCGGUGUGAGCCAGGUUGGUUUCUAUCUUUUUAAUAAAAUUAUAUUUUAGUACGAAAGGACCAAAUAUAACAAAUAUUUUGUUUAGAUUUGAAUAAAAUUA